rnacentral:rRNA from 1 species
GACGAACGCUGGCGGCGUGCCUAAUACAUGCAAGUAGAACGCUGAGGGCGGAGCUUGCUCUUCUGGUUGAGUUGCGAACGGGUGAGUAACGCGUAGGUAACCUGCCUGGUAGCGGGGGAUAACUAUUGGAAACGAUAGCUAAUACCGCAUAACAGUAGAUGUUGCAUGACAUUUGCUUAAAAGGUGCAAUUGCACCACUACCAGAUGGACCUGCGUUGUAUUAGCUAGUUGGUGGGGUAACGGCUCACCAAGGCGACGAUACAUAGCCGACCUGAGAGGGUGAUCAGCCACACUGGGACGGAGACACGGCCCAGACUCCUACGGGAGGCAGCAGUAGGGAUUCUGCGGCAAUGGACGGAAGUCUGACCGAGCAACGCCGCGUGAGUGAAGAAGAUUGUCGGAUCGGAAAGCUCUGUUGUAAGAGAAGAACGAGUGUGAGAGUGGAAAGUUCAGACUGUGACGGUAACUUACCAGAAAGGGACGGCUAACUACGUG